GACGAACGCUGGCGGCGUGCUUAACACAUGCAAGUCGUGCGGAAAGGCCCCUUCGGGGGUACUCGAGCGGCGAACGGGUGAGUAACACGUGAGUAACCUGCCCCUAGCUCUGGGAUAAGCCUGGGAAACUGGGUCUAAUACCGGAUAUGACUUCUGCCCGCAUGGGUGGGGGUGGAAAGGUCUUUGACCGGCUAGGGAUGGGCUCGCGGCCUAUCAGCUUGUUGGUGGGGUAAUGGCCUACCAAGGCUGUGACGGGUAGCCGGCCUGAGAGGGCGACCGGCCACACUGGGACUGAGACACGGCCCAGACUCCUACGGGAGGCGGCAGUGGGGAAUCUUGCGCAAUGGGCGAAAGCCUGACGCAGCAACGCCGCGUGAGGGAUGACGGCCUUCGGGUUGUAAACCUCUUUCAGCGGGGACGAAGCGAGAGUGACGGUACCCGCAGAAGAAGCGCCGGCCAACUAC
rnacentral:rRNA from 1 species